CAAUAUUUUGUUACAAGUAAAUUACCAAGAAAAAAUUGUUUUGCUCAUGAUAGUUGGAUUACUAUUAGUGAAUACUAAAAAAAUACUAAUAGUGAAAAACUACUGCCUAGACCCUACUCCAGUAGGAGCGCUGAAAAAUUAUUGAAAGUUCUUUUUGGUUUCAAAUGACUUAGUUUUCAUAAUGUACCUGCUGCUUCAGUCUUUUCCCUCUUUAAGUCCUCCCAUUGUGAACGUAGAUAGUAUUGAAUUACUUCAGUUACAUGCAUAAUUUCUACCUAAAAUACUAAAAUUAAGUUUCUUUAGGAAAAUAAUUACUUCUUGUGCUAUAUAAAAACAAAGUAAUAAUGAUUGUGCUGAUCUGUUCUUCCACAAGCCUGUAAGCUUUGAAUUAAUCGUGAUCCUUCCAAUGAAUUUUUUGUAUGAAGAGAAAACAAAUAAGCUGGCAGUAUUUUACUCUAACAAAAUAAAGGAUCCACUUUGGAGUAGGAGAUUUAAGAGAUAAAAUAAAAGUGAGAAUGGAAAUACCUUGGUCCACGUUCCAAGGAAGCUCUCAAGACCAAACGACCAAUACGGCCAAAUCCGUUGAUUCCAAUGUUAAAAGGAGGAACACAACCACUUGGCUUGGGCAGAGGAGUCAAAUGAAGGACAAUCGAAUGCUGUUGGGUGGAUGGGUGGCUAGGUCGUUCACCAGUCAGUUCACACAGCCCGCCACAGUUGUUCACCGCGCAGGUUCGGAGGAUCGGUUCCGGAAAAGAGCGAAUCGUAGAAACUAGAAACGAACGACUCUGACUCGAACGAUUUUGGAAUCGAUCCGCAAAUACUCCGACAUGUAACUUGCAUUAUUGUUCUUGGAAGCUUUCCUAAUAAAGUACAAAAUGAGAAAAAUAGCCGCCGACAUAAUUAAUUGGAAUUAUUAUUGAAAAAUAUUUAAAAAUAAAAAAUUAAAAAAAAUAUAAUCAAGUAUGUUAAGAAUUGAGAAAAUUAAUUUUUUUACAGAAAAUAAAGUAAUGUAAAUGAAAGAAUGAUAAGAAAAUAGCGUAAAUAAUAAAUGUAGAAGUGGUUGA
rnacentral:lncRNA from 1 species